CCUACGGGAGGCAGCAGUGGGGAAUAUUGCACAAUGGGCGAAAGCCUGAUGCAGCAACGCCGCGUGAGCGAUGAAGGCCUUCGGGUCGUAAAGCUCUAUCCUCAAGGAAGAUAAUGACGGUACUUGACGAGGAAGCCCCGGCUAACUACGUGCCAGCAGCCGCGGUAAUACGUAGGGGGCUAGCGUUAUCCGGAAUUACUGGGGGUAAAGGGUGCGUAGGUGGGUUUGUAAGUCAGGAGUGAAAGGCCAGGGCCCAACCCGCGUACAGCUCUGGAAACGGGGAAAUUGGAGUGCAGGAGAGGAGAGCGGAAUUCCUAGUGUAGCGGUGAAAUGCGUAGAUAUUAGGAGGAACACCAGUGGCGAAGGCGGCUUUCUGGACUGUAACUGACACUGAGGCACGAAAGCGUGGGGAGCAAACAGGAUUAGAUACCCGAGUAGUC
rnacentral:rRNA from 1 species